ensembl:snRNA U6 U6 spliceosomal RNA
AUGCUUGCUUUGGUUGCACAUAUACUAAAACUGGAACGAUACAAAGAAGAUUAGCAUGGCCCUUGUGCAAGGAUGACACGCAAAUUCGUGAAGCAUUCCAUACUUUU